GAUGAACGCUGGCGGCGUGCCUAAUACAUGCAAGUCGAGCGAACAGACGAGGAGCUUGCUCCUCUGACGUUAGCGGCGGACGGGUGAGUAACACGUGGAUAACCUACCUAUAAGACUGGGAUAACUUCGGGAAACCGGAGCUAAUACCGGAUAAUAUAUUGAACCGCAUGGUUCAAUAGUGAAAGACGGUUUUGAUGUCACUUAUAGAUAGAUCCGCGCCGCAUUAGCUAGUUGGUAAGGUAACGGCUUACCAAGGCGACGAUGCGUAGCCGACCUGAGAGGGUGAUCGGCCACACUGGAACUGAGACACGGUCCAGACUCCUACGGGAGGCAGCAGUAGGGAAUCUUCCGCAAUGGGCGAAAGCCUGACGGAGCAACGCCGCGUGAGUGAUGAAGGUCUUCGGAUCGUAAAACUCUGUUAGUAGGGAAGAACAAAUGUGUAAGUAACUAUGCACGUCUUGACGGUACCUAAUCAGAAAGCCACGGCUAACUACGUG
rnacentral:rRNA from 1 species